GGUGCGGGGACGGUGAUCCGGGGAGGACCUACGCGGCGCGUGGGGCGGGGCACAAAUGCUCCCGGGCCUGGCUCGGAGGAACUGCGAGCUGGAGGCGCGGCUGUUCUCUGGGCGGACCUCAGCAAUGCGAACCCUGCCGUUGCCGGAGCACUGAGUGCCCUUCCCGGAGUCCCGCGGAGCCUGGCGAGGAGGGGUCGCUGCAUCCCGAGGGCCAGCCGUGAGCCGGGAGAUGGGAAGAUGAAACGGCUGUCGUGGAAAUAGUUUUAAAAUCUCGUACUGGUAAGCAUAUUUUGAUAGUGAAACCUUUUGCAAUACAAACUACUCUCAGGCUUAUUCCUACCACAGAAAAGAGUGGGGUGUGGGAAAUGAGCUUAUCUUUUUCAAAGUAUAAUUUUAAAGAUAUAGAAAGAGCAUGUGUCAGAGAUUUACUUAGCUCAUUAAUUAGGGAACCAACAGGGUGCUAAAGAAGAGGUUAAAAGACUAGUUAAUAUAGUCCAUGUAAAAAAAAAAAAUGCUGGAAUGGAUUGCAAAGUUAGAGACAAAACUGGUUAAUAUCCUACAGAGCAAUAAAACCAUGACCUCGGGAGGAAUGUUUUUCCUAUUGGGUAAAUCAUUUGCACCUCUACCAGCUGUCAUUUACUAAAGUCCCAUUAUAUCCAGCAUUUGAGAAAAAGAGAAGAGACAGACAUUCCUGGCAGAGGGUCAUCUUGCGUCCAUGUUUGGUUUAGUAAACUGUUAAGAGGUCUCCAGACUAUGCCUUGUAAACAUGGCUGCCAUGGCCCUGUGGGUGGGAGGGCCAGUUGCAGCAAAAGGGAACCAUUGUGAUUUGGGUAAAUGCUCCACCUGAGCUUGAAGAUCUUUGUAUCUGUGCUAAGGAGUUUGGAUUCCGUGCCGAGCGCAAGCAGAGAGCCAUUGAAGAUACAAUUGGCAUGCCCAGCUAUCCAGUUCUCCGUGAAAUCCUGGACUCCAGAUAUAUCUUCAGGGUGUAAUGCUUCUGGGGAACGUUUCUCUCCACCAUCCUGUGCAACACUGUGGGGGUGUCAGUAACACCCUCUGUCCUCUCCUGGCCAAAGGAAAGGGGUGUCAUUCAGCCCAGGCCCCUGGAUCCUCAUCUCAGGAUUUGGAAAUGUGACUGAAGUGACAUAAGGAAAGAAACGAAGUGUGAGGAGCUCAUUCAGCCAGCUCUGCAGCUCCAGCUGGGUUACCUGAAUAGCAGAGGCCCACCAGGCCCUGGGCAGAAGGAAUGAUAAUAAAACUUCUGAAAAGUGAAAUGGAAAAAUAGCUGAAAGGGAAACAUUUCAGGUUCCCGACUGUGGGAUUACAAAAUACUGUACAAAUGUUACAUUUCCAGACAGUUAUUAAUCCUUCCAGCACCCCUGUGAAAUGAAGAAUAUGGUCUGGUUUGGAUGAAUGCAAGCGGCCUCCCACCUAGGCUCACUCAUCCCCAAACUGAACAAUGAAUGAUGGUGGAAUUCAUUCGUACGUGCUCAUGGGCGAUUGAUGAGCUCUCCAGAGCUCUUACCCAAGAACACCUGUCAUCCACAUGGGUCUGAAUCCUGGUCAUCCAGAAGGCUCUUGUUAACAGGCACACAGAGAGCUUUGGUUCACAUUCUUUGGAAUCAGAAGUGGAAUUCGAGCAACACCAAUUCUUCUCUUGACGCUGUCCUGAACCAACACAUUGAGAUCUGCAAGGGUCCUUUGAGUUCAGUUGUCUUCUCAGAGAUGCCAGGAAGCCUCAGUUACAGUCCAAAAAUUUGCUGCUUCAUCAAGGAAAUUCAUGGAAAAGACACCAAGUUAAGAAUUCCCUCCAGCCUCACUGGAAGGGGACCCUAUCAGGUACUUUUAACCAGCCUGUGUGCUGCUAAAUUACAGGGCAUUGAGUCAUGGAUCCAUAUUUCUCAUUUAAAAAGAAGGCUCUUGAUCCUUCUACCAAGUGAACCUCCCAACUGGUCACUGAUAUCAAACUCAAGUUAGUCAAACUACAGCCACCGGGACAAGAAGACAACAUCUGAGGUAGACUGCUUUCUCCCAAGAUACCAGAGCAGGCCUGUAUAACCUCUUUCUUAUCUUGAGCUAACAUCCUAGUCCUUAUGUUUACUUUGUAAUUAUUUUAAUUAUCACAGCUUUGAGAAUCUUGUGCAUCCUGGGUGUCUUAUGCCACUCUGGGGUAAUUCCAUAUAUUCCACUGUUUAGACACACCAUGGGACUCAUUGCCUUGCUGGACUCUUUAUAAUCCCCUCUUUUUACACCAUGCCUUACUUCUUCCUUUUCCUUUCUUUCUUGACUCUGCUUUCCAGUUCUUCCUACUCAUGGGAAGAUAAUGCCUAGAUACAGCAAUCCCAAUCCCUUGCCUCUGCAGGCAAAAGCUAACUGAGCAUUGGAUACGCCGCCUUUCCCCCUGCUGAAUUCAUUGGAGGAAACAGGAAUCCUAUAAUUAUCCUAGUGACCAGCUUCCUUAAUGUAGUGCUCAGUUGCUUGGUACCCCUGUUUGAUCCACUGACUGUUGACUAUUGGGUGCAUAUUCAUGCUCCUGAGGUUCAUCCUUGUUUUCUCCUCACUGGUAUAUCCCAUAAAUACCUUCCUGUUACCCUACCUUGCAUUUCCUCCCCUUCUUCUGAAUACUCACCACCACUUCUACUCUAUAUCUUGCAAAAUCCCAUAGAAACAGAACACUUAGUAAGACUCCUCUCUGCAGAAUAUACCAAAAAAAGCUUAAGAGUCUCCUCCAUGGUUCCCCAAAUCUACCGGCUGGAUCAUACCACUGUGUCAUUACCUAAGACAGGUACUUGGUUUGACCACAUACCCUCUUUUGCCUGUAAACAGCUCCUUGAAUUUUCAUAACCUCUCAGGAUAAUUAUGUGCCCCUUCAGGCUGUGUUUUUGGCUGCAACUACGUCAUCCAAAAAGAUUUUUUCUACCCCUGCCUCAGGUCCCGAGAAAACACAGGCAUUUACUUUCCGGGUCAAGUCGUUGCUCCUGUCACCAUUAUUAAUUCUGUAACUCAGGGAAUAUAGACUCUACAUCCCAGGGCCAAAAGAGCUCUACCAAUAACUGAUGACUAUGCUGGUGAGAACCCCUCAGAUUAUAAAGAUGGUAGCUGUGGAUACCCUCAAGGAUGUGAUUUACCUGGUGGGCUUAACCCUGGUGAAGGAUCUAAAUGGGAAAGGAUUCUCGGGUCCUGGCUUGGGCUAGACCCUGCUUAGAAUGAAUAUAGGAUCAGAAACCUUUCCUGCAGUUAGCAGAAUUGCCCACUCCACUGCCUCUACCAUCAGGGCACAACAGAGAUUUCUAGAUUCCCUUGCCCAUGUGAUCCUGCACAACCACAUUGCAUUAGACUGUCUCCUCAUGGCAUGUGGUGGUGUUUAUGCUGUCACUAACACUUCCUGUUGCACCUGGGUAAAUACUUCCAGUCAGGUUGAAUUGGAAACAUCUGAGAUCCAAAGUUGGCCAAAUCCUACAGCUGGCCGUCUGAAAAGGACACCUUCAGAAAGCCUCCUGGCUGGGCUUACUGCAUUAGAAUGCCAAUUUCCAGAUAUUUUCAUCCGUCUUCUUCUGGUAUAGGAUUCCUUCUGUGUUCUAUCCUACAAAUCGUAGUGAAUCUCCUUGGACUAAGCACUUGGCUCCCCUUUAAAAUCGUUCUAGUCUGCUUUAACAGAUGCCUGCAAGAGACCCUCACCAGGAUCGUGCUGACCCAACACCUUGAGACUUUAGACUCGUUCCAGCUGGAAACUGAAGCCAAGUUAAGCCAAGAGAUGUUAAUUCAAAUUUAACGGGUGCCUGAGUGCCUCUCAUAAGUAAAUGGCUCUAGUUGCUCAGUCGGUCACUGCAUUGUCAAAGGAUUUCUGCACGGGACUAGAAGAAUCUGGAACAGGUUGCCAGCCACUCUAGCAGGAUGAUGGGAUGCAACCAACCUAAUCAAUCAUCAGUGCUAUCUGAUAGCACUAUUGAUAAACAGGGAGGGGGGUGGAUUUGAACCUUGAAAGAACCAGUCCCUCAGAUGAAUCCUGAGUGGUUAAUAGCCUAAAUUCAAGAGCCAAGUGGCCAUUUGCUUACUAGAGGUCACACACAUACUAGGAGUUCCUGGAAAACCUGCAUCUCUGCUUAACUUAGGGGCUUUCAUAGCUGCCUGUUCAUGUUUGUGCUGCCUGAGCCAACCAAUAGGCUGUGACCUAUGUCAACCAAUCAGAACUCAGCAAAUGUUGAUCAAUCAGAACUCACCAAACAUCAACCGGUCAGAACUAAGCAAGCCUGAAUCCUUUAUUUGACUAAGUGGACCUGAGUGGGAACCUGGAUGGGAUCUUUCACUAUAAAAGAAAAACCUUUCGUUUGUUUUCUGGGACGUACCUUCAUUUUACACUGAAGGCUGUGUCUCUUCAGUUUGCCAACUGUUAGGGGAAUAAAGUCUCUUUCCUGUAAA